rnacentral:snRNA from 1 species
GCGACCUUCCGAGGCUCGACGU